UACGGAGGGUGCAAGCGUUAUCCGGAUUCACUGGGUUUAAAGGGCUCGUAGGCGGUUUGUCGCGUCGGGAGUGAAAUCCACUGGCUUAACUGGUGGCUUGCUUUCGAUACGGGCAGACUGAGGUAUGCAGGGGAGAACGGAAUUCCUGGUGUAGCGGUGAAAUGCGCAGAUAUCAGGAGGAACACCGGUGGCGAAGGCGGCUCACUGGACCGGUAAGCUGACGCUGAGGCGCGAAGACGUGGGGAGGCAAACAG
rnacentral:rRNA from 1 species